rnacentral:rRNA from 1 species
GUGGGGAAUAUUGGACAAUGGGCGCAAGCCUGAUCCAGCCAUACCGCGUGGGUGAAGAAGGCCUUCGGGUUGUAAAGCCCUUUUGUUGGGAAAGAAAUCCUAUCGAUUAAUACUCGGUGGGGAUGACGGUACCCAAAGAAUAAGCACCGGCUAACUUCGUGCCAGCAGCCGCGGUAAUACGAAGGGUGCAAGCGUUACUCGGAAUUACUGGGCGUAAAGCGUGCGUAGGUGGUUGUUUAAGUCUGCUGUGAAAGCCCUGGGCUCAACCUGGGAAUUGCAGUGGAUACUGGUCAACUAGAGUGUGGUAGAGGGAUGCGGAAUUUCUGGUGUAGCAGUGAAAUGCGUAGAGAUCAGAAGGAACAUCCGUGGCGAAGGCGGCAUCCUGGGCCAACACUGACACUGAGGCACGAAAGCGUGGGGAGCAAACAGGAUUAGAAACCCCUGUAGUCC